UUAUUACAAAAUAAAGUAAUGUUGAUAUCACAUUCACAAAUUAUGCCUUACAACUGUUUGACAAAAUGCCCGAUAAGCAUCUUAAACACUAUGACCUUCCCUAUUGUUUAUUCAUUUCCAAAUAUGAACAAAAUUAAUUAAAUUUCCUCAAUUCUUGUCUGAUUCAAUUGUCUGCAGGUCAGCAACUUAGAUGUGUGCUGGUUUUCAGUCACCAGGUAUUUGUUUCUUGUACACUUAACAAAAUACUUAGUUGCAUGAUCCUAGUAAGCAGUCAUUAGAUGUGAAUGAAAAUAUUAUCCUGUGUGGCAGGAGAAUGCUUGUAAGUAAUUUUCACAUCCAUAUGUAUCAUUAGCUUUAUAUACUAAGGGCCUGUUUAGUUAGUAUAGUAUGGUAGUUAACUCUUGGCUUUCGAAGGAGAAAUGCCAUAAUAAUAAGCGUGCUAUUAACUUGUCUAAAUAUAGGGUUCUAUUUACCCUGUAAUUAUUUCGUCCCUACGAAAAUUAUGCAAUCAGUCGAACGUGUUUAGAAUUUACUAGGUUGAAAUAUACUGAUGGCUAUGCUGGUUGAUUUGGUGAAGAAUGAGGUUGCACAAAUCUACUGGCCUUUGUGUGUGUGAUAUGGAGUUGCAGUGAGAAAGUCCACAGUGUGGCAACUUAUGGUAAUGUCCUUGUAUAUUUGAUGGCCAAACAACAUCUUUCUUUAUUAAAGUUAUGUGUUUUUUACUAAGGCAUUUUUUCUUUGAUGGCAGAUAACAAUACUUCAAUUGGUUGUCUUAUAAGGAUAAGGA
rnacentral:lncRNA from 1 species